rnacentral:rRNA from 1 species
UACGUAGGAUCCGAGCGUUAUCCGGAUUUAUUGGGUUUAAAGGGUGCUCAGGCGGGCCAUUAAGUCGGCGGUGAAAUUUUGCGGCUCAACCGUAAAAGUGCCUUCGAUACUGGUGGUCUUGAGUGUGGAUGAGGUAGGCGGAAUUUGUGGUGUAGCGGUGAAAUGCAUAGAUAUCACGAGGAACUCCGAUUGCUAAGGCAGCUUACUAAGCCAUAACUGACGCUCAAGCACGAAGGCGUGGGGAUCAAACAGGAUUAGAUACCCGGGUAGUCCCU